rnacentral:rRNA from 1 species
UACGUAGGUGGCAAGCGUUGUCCGGAAUUAUUGGGCGUAAAGCGCGCGCAGGCGGCCUCUUAAGUUCUGAUGUGAAAGCCCCCCGGCUCAACCGGGGAGGGCCAUUGGAAACUGGGAGGCUUGAGUAUAGGAGAGAAGAGUGGAAUUCCACGUGUAGCGGUGAAAUGGCGUUAGAGAUGUGGAGGAACACCAGUGGCGAAGGCGACUCUUUGGCCUAUAACUGACGCUGAGGCGCGAAAGCGUGGGGAGCAAACAGG